rnacentral:rRNA from 1 species
CGGCCGCGUCGACGAGCGUUAUCCGGAUUUACUGGGUGUAAAGGGCGUGUAGGCGGGAUUGCAAGUCAGGCGUGAAACUAUGGGCUCAACCCAUAGCCUGCGUUUGAAACUGUAGUUCUUGAGUGUCGGAGAGGCAAUCGGAAUUCCGUGUGUAGCGGUGAAAUGCGUAGAUAUACGGAGGAACACCAGUGGCGAAGGCGUCGACGCGGCCG